UAGGGAAUAUUGGUAAUGGGCGAAAGCCUGAACCAGCAACGCCGCGUGUGCGAUGAAGGCCUUCGGGUUGUAAAGCACUUUUUGAGGAGAUGAGGUAGGACAGUACCCUCAGAAUAAGUCUCGGCUAACUACGUGCCAGCAGCCGCGGUAACACGUAGGAGACAAGCGUUAUUCGGAUUUACUGGGCGUAAAGCGCGUGCAGGCGGUCUGGUAAGUUGGAUGUGAAAGCUCCUGGCUUAACUGGGAGAGGUCGUUCAAUACUGUCAGACUAGAGAGUGGGAGAGGGAGGUGGAAUUCCGGGUGUAGUGGUGAAAUGCGUAGAUAUCCGGAGGAACACCAGUGGCGAAAGCGGCCUCCUGGCCCAUUUCUGACGCUUAGACGCGAAAGCUAGGGUAGCAAACGG
rnacentral:rRNA from 1 species